GUGGUCUCUAUCUAUAUUAAUUAAUUAAAUUAUAAAGGCAUUAUGAUAAAACACAGCACAUUUGUGUCCACACUGCUCAUAGUCACACCAAAAUGAAACCAAUUUUUGGCCCAAUCUCUGCCAACUAGUAUCCCAAAUCUUUCUCCCCCUUGUUCAAACAUUCAUUUUCAACUCGAAUAUCCCCCAAACCAAAACUCCAUAAAAUAAAAAAAUAUUCAACAUAAAACAUCUUUCUUUAUCCUAAUAAUCAAUCCCAAAUUAAAACUCCCCUACAAUCUGUCACACGAAUAAUUAGUUCCUACAAUCCGUUCAUGUUAAUGGGUAAUACACAUGUAAUAUAUUCUAAGAGUAGAUGUAUGUAAGCAUAACGGAGAUUAAGUGGGUCAUAGACUGGCGGCACAGCGGGCGGAGACGAAGACUGCUACGCCUGGACUUCAUGCGCCAUAGAGA
rnacentral:lncRNA from 1 species